rnacentral:rRNA from 1 species
UACGUAGGGGGGCAAGCGUUGUCCGGAUUUAUUGGGCGUAAAGAGCGUGUAGGCGGCUAGAUAGGUCCGUUGUGAAAAACUCGAGGCUCAACCUCGAGACGUCGAUGGAAACCAUCUGGCUAGAGUCCGGAAGAGGAGAGUGGAAUUCCUGGUGUAGCGGUGAAAUGCGCAGAUAUCAGGAAGAACACCCGUGGCGAAGGCGGCUCUCUGGUACGUGACUGACGCUGAGACGCGAAAAGCGUGGGGGAGCAAACAGG